UACGUAGGGUGCGAGCGCUAAUCGGAAUUACUGGGCGUAAAGCGUGCGCAGGCGGUUUUGUAAGCCAGAUGUGAAAUCCCCGGGCUUAACCUGGGAAUAGCAUUUGGGACUGCAAGGCUCGAGUGCGGCAGAGGAGACUGGAAUUCCUGGUGUAGCAGUGAAAUGCGUAGAUAUCAGGAGGAACACCGAUGGCGAAGGCAGGUCUCUGGGCUGACACUGACGCUCAUGCACGAAAGCGUGGGGAGCAAACAGG
rnacentral:rRNA from 1 species